rfam:Xenopus tropicalis strain Nigerian scaffold_145_contig_10, whole genome shotgun sequence.
GUUUCUGUAGUGUAGUGGUUAUCACGUUCGCCUCACACGCGAAAGGUCCCCGGUUCGAAACCGUGCAGAAACA